AGAGUUUGAUCAUGGCUCAGAUUGAACGCUGGCGGCAUGCCUAACACAUGCAAGUCGAACGGCAGCGGGUACUGGCUUGCCAGUAUGCCGGCGAGUGGCGAACGGGUGAGUAACGCGUAGGAAUAUACCUUAAAGAGGGGGAUAACUUGGGGAAACUCAAGCUAAUACCGCAUGAGCUCUGGUGAGGAAAGCUGGGGACCGAAAGGCCUGGCGCUUUAAGAAUAGCCUGCGUCCGAUUAGCUAGUUGGUGGGGUAAAGGCCUACCAAGGCGACGAUCGGUAGCUGGUCUGAGAGGAUGGACAGCCACACUGGGACUGAGACACGGCCCAGACUCCUACGGGAGGCAGCAGUGGGGAAUAUUGGACAAUGGGGGCAACCCUGAUCCAGCAAUGCCGCGUGUGUGAAGAAGGCCUGAGGGUUGUAAAGCACUUUAGUUGGGGAGGAGAGCAUGCAGGUUAAGAGCUGGUAUGUGAGACGUUACCCAAAGAAUAAGCACC
rnacentral:rRNA from 1 species